rnacentral:rRNA from 1 species
AUUGAACGCUGGCGGCAGGCCUAACACAUGCAAGUCGAGCGGAGCGACGGACGGGCGAGUGAUUCCUAGGAAUCUGCCUGGUUGUGGGGGAUAAAGUCCGGCAACGGGCGCUAAUAAAUCAUACUAUCCGAUCAGCCUAGUUGGGAUUAGCUAGUUGGUGGGGUAAAGGCCUACCAAGGCGACGAUCCGUAACUGGUCUGAGAGGAUGAUCAGUCACACUGGAACUGAGACACGGUCCAGACUCCUACGGGAGGCAGCAGUGGGGAAUAUUGGACAAUGGGCGAAAGCCUGAUCCAGCCAUGCCGCGUGUGUGAAGAAGGUCUUCGGAUUGUAAAGCACUUUAAGUUGGGAGGCGUUACCAACAGAAUAAGCACCGGCUAACUUCGUGCCAGCAGCCGCGGUAAUUC